CAGAAUCACAUCGAAGAAGCUAACCUUAUAAAGCAAAGAGGCAUCAAGUUUUACCUCAGCAGUUCAAAAUAAUGCAGAGGUGUAUGCAGAUGAGGAAUAAAUCACAAGUACAGCUGAACUUACAUCGCUUACUGAUGGACAACAGGGAUAUCUAGAUUCUGCUUUGACCAAAGAUGAGCUUAAAGCUACAAUUAAAGCAUUACCAUCUGGGCUAUUGUCUUGCAGAUCUUUCGAAAAAUUCUACCUCCUGGCAGAGGCAACCAGAUUUUUGUCCAAAGGUUUUAUAUUACCAUUGACUUUAACAAGGACCAACAAAAGAAGAACAGCUCCACGGGAUCAAAG